rnacentral:rRNA from 1 species
UUUCCUACGGGGGGCAGCAGUGGGGAAUAUUGCACAAUGGGGGGAACCCUGAUGCAGCGACGCCGCGUGAGUGAAGAAGUAUUUCGGUAUGUAAAGCUCUAUCAGCAGGGACGAAGAUGACGGUACCUGCAGAAGAAGCCCCGGCUAACUACGUGCCAGCAGCCGCGGUAAUACGUAGGGGGCAAGCGUUAUCCGGAUUUACUGGGUGUAAAGGGAGCGUAGACGGCAGGGCAAGCCAGAAGUGAAAACGCAGAGCUUAACUUUGCGACUGCUUUUGGAACUGCCCAGCUAGAGUACAGGAGAGG